CCUACGGGUGGCAGCAGUGAGGAAUAUUGGGCAAUGGAGGCAACUCUGACCCAGCCAUGCCGCGUGAGUGAAGAAGGUUUUCGGAUUGUAAAGCUCUUUCGGAUGUGACGAUGAUGACGGUAGCAUCUAAAGAAGCCCCGGCUAACUUCGUGCCAGCAGCCGCGGUAAUACGAAGGGGGCAAGCGUUAUCCGGAUUUACUGGGUGUAAAGGGAGCGUAGACGGCAGCGCAAGUCUGGAGUGAAAUGCCGGGGCCCAACCCCGGAACUGCUCUGGAAACUGUGAAGCUGGAGUGCAGGAGAGGUAAGCGGAAUUCCUGGUGUAGCGGUGAAAUGCGUAGAUAUCAGGAGGAACACCGGCGGCGAAGGCGGCUUACUGGACUGUAACUGACGUUGAGGCUCGAAGGCGUGGGGAGCAAACAGGAUUAGAUACCCCAGUAGUC
rnacentral:rRNA from 1 species